UUAGUAAGAUAACUUUGCCAUUUACUCUUCUUUCCGUUGCCUGAUGUCGAAGUGAAUGGUCUCUUUCCUAGAAAGAUCAAAAACUGCUGGUUAAGAAAAUGAGUAAAAUACAAAAUAAAAUGGAAGAAAAUAUGUUGAACAGAUAUUGAAAAUUAGGAAUUGAUAAAGCUAAUCAUAUUAAAAGUUGGAAUGCAAAUGGUGGAAAAAUGUAACAUUAAGAGCUGCUGUGAAAUGAAAUUAUUUUAAUUACGAAUCAAAGUUUAAAAGGUAAUUGUCUUAGUCUAAUAAUAAAUAGUUAUAUUUUUAUUAUUACUUAUAUGAAUACCAAAAAGUUAAUGAACCUUUGUAGAAUGUUAGCAUAUAGGUAUUAGUGAUAUGUCUGGAAUAUUGCACAUAUUUACUUCAUAAUUUU